rnacentral:rRNA from 1 species
CAGUAGCCACGGUAAUACAGAGGGUGCGAGCGUUAAUCGGAAUUACUGGGCGUAAAGCGCGCGUAGACGGUUUUGUAAGUCAGAUGUGAAAUCCCUGGGCUCAACCUGGGAACUGCAUUUGAUACUGCAUGGCUAGAGUAUCGAAGAGGGAAGUGGAAUUUCCGGUGUAGCGGUGAAAUGCGUAGAUAUCGGAAGGAACACCAGUGGCGAAAGCGACUUCCUGGUCGAAUACUGACGUUCAUGUGCGAAAGCGUGGGGAGCAAACAGGAUUAGAUACCCCAGUAGUCCCUGUCUCUUAUAC